GAUUUUAGCGGCGGACGGGUGAGUAACACGUGGGCAACCUACCUUGUAGAUUGGGAUAACUCCGGGAAACCGGGGCUAAUACCGAAUAAUCCAUUUUGCUUCAUGGCGAAAUGUUAAAAGGCGGCUUCGGCUGUCACUGCAAGAUGGGCCCGCGGCGCAUUAGCUAGUUGGUAAGGUAACGGCUUACCAAGGCGACGAUGCGUAGCCGACCUGAGAGGGUGAUCGGCCACACUGGGACUGAGACACGGCCCAGACUCCUACGGGAGGCAGCAGUAGGGAAUCUUCCACAAUGGACGAAAGUCUGAUGGAGCAACGCCGCGUGAGUGAAGAAGGUUUUCGGAUCGUAAAACUCUGUUGUAAGGGAAGAACACGUACGAGAGUAACUGCUCGUACCUUGACGGUACCUUAUUAGAAAGCCACGGCUAACUACGUGCCAGCAGCCGCGGUAAUACGUAGGUGGCAAGCGUUGUCCGGAAUUAUUGGGCGUAAAGCGCGCGCAGGCGGUCCUUUAAGUCUGAUGUGAAAGCCCACGGCUCAACCGUGGAGGGUCAUUGGAAACUGGGGGACUUGAGUACAGAAGAGGAAAGCGGAAUUCCAAGUGUAGCGGUGAAAUGCGUAGAGAUUUGGAGGAACACCAGUGGCGAAGGCGGCUUUCUGGUCUGUAACUGACGCUGAGGCGCGAAAGCGUGGGGAGCAAACAGGAUUAGAU
rnacentral:rRNA from 1 species